rnacentral:rRNA from 1 species
GUGAGGCAUGCUGGAGGUAUCAGAAGUGCGAAUGCUGACAUAAGUAACGAUAAAGCGGGUGAAAAGCCCGCUCGCCGGAAGACCAAGGGUUCCUGUCCAACGUUAAUCGGGGCAGGGUGAGUCGACCCCUAAGGCGAGGCCGAAAGGCGUAGUCGAUGGGAAACGGGUUAAUAUUCCCGUACUUGGUGUUACUGCGAAGGGGGGACGGAGAAGGCUAUGUUGGCCGGGCGACGGUUGUCCCGGUUUAAGCGUGUAGGUGUGUGUUCCAGGUAAAUCCGGUUCACUUUAACACUGAGGCGUGACGACGAGGCACUACGGUGCUGAAGCAACAAAUGCCCUGCUUCCAGGAAAAGCCUCUAAGCAUCAGGUAACAUCAAAUCGUACCCCAAACCGACACAGGUGGUCAGGUAGAGAAUACCAAGGCGCUUGAGAGAACUCGGGUGAAGGAACUAGGCAAAAUGGUGCCGUAACUUCGGGAGAAGGCACGCUGACACGUAGGUGAAGUGAUUUACUCAUGGAGCUGAAGUCAGUCGAAGAUACCAGCUGGCUGCAACUGUUUAUUAAAAACACAGCACUGUGCAAACACGAAAGUGGACGUAUACGGUGUGACGCCUGCCCGGUGCCGGAAGGUUAAUUGAUGGGGUCAGCGCAAGCGAAGCUCCUGAUCGAAGCCCCGGUAAACGGCGGCCGUAACUAUAACGGUCCUAAGGUAGCGAAAUUCCUUGUCGGGUAAGUUCCGACCUGCACGAAUGGCGUAAUGAUGGCCAGGCUGUCUCCACCCGAGACUCAGUGAAAUUGAACUCGCUGUGAAGAUGCAGUGUACCCGCGGCAAGACGGAAAGACCCCGUGAACCUUUACUAUAGCUUGACACUGAACAUUGAGCCUUGAUGUGUAG